ACAUACGACCAUAGAUAGUUGAAAACAUGGCAUCCCGUUCGCUCUGCCCUAAUUAAGCAACUAAUCGCCGAAUCAGUACUCAGGUGGGUGACCACUGGGGAAUCCUCGGUGUUGUAUGUU
rfam:Pestalotiopsis fici W106-1 unplaced genomic scaffold PFICI_Scf_1, whole genome shotgun sequence.